rnacentral:rRNA from 1 species
GAUGAACGCUGGCGGCGUGCUUAACACAUGCAAGUCGAACGGUGAACGAGGGAGCUUGCUCCCUCCGGAUCAGUGGCGAACGGGUGAGUAACACGUGAGCAAUCUGCCCUGGACUCUGGGAUAAGCGUUGGAAACGACGUCUAAUACCGGAUACGAGGCGUGGGGGCAUCCCCAACGCCUGGAAAGAACUUCGGUCCAGGAUGAGCUCGCGGCCUAUCAGCUAGUUGGUGAGGUAACGGCUCACCAAGGCGACGACGGGUAGCCGGCCUGAGAGGGUGACCGGCCACACUGGGACUGAGACACGGCCCAGACUCCUACGGGAGGCAGCAGUGGGGAAUAUUGCACAAUGGGCGCAAGCCUGAUGCAGCAGCGCCGCGUGAGGGACGACGGCCUUCGGGUUGUAAACCUCUUUUAGCAGGGAAGAAGCGAAAGUGACGGUACCUGCAGAAAAAGCACCGGCUAACUACGUGCCAGCAGCCGCAGUAAUAC